rnacentral:rRNA from 1 species
UCUACGGGUGGCAGCAGUGGGGAAUAUUGCACAAUGGGGGAAACCCUGAUGCCGCGACGCCGCGUGAGUGAUGAAGUAUUUCGGUAUGUAAAGCUCUAUCAGCAGGGAAGAAAAUGACGGUACCUGACGAAGAAGCCACGGCUAACUACGUGCCAGCAGCCGCGGUAAUACGUAGGGGGCAAGCGUUAUCCGGAUUUACUGGGUGUAAAGGGAGCGUAGGCGGCUAAUCAAGUCAGAAGUGAAAACCCAGGGCUCAACUUUGGGACUGCUUUUGAAACUGAGUAGCUAGAGUGCAGGAGAGGGAAGGGGAAGUCCUGGGGUAGCGGUGAAAUGCGUAGAUAUUAGGAGGAACACCAGUGGCGAAGGCGGCUUACUGGACUGUAACUGACGUUGAGGCUCGAAAGCGUGGGGAGCAAACAGGAUUAGAUACCCUAGUAGUC